rnacentral:lncRNA from 1 species
GGAACAAAGAGAAAAAGAGAGGAACAAACCCUAGGAAAGAAAAAUUCAAGAGAAAUUGUUGGAUUUCAAGAAAUCAAGUAAGUAAAGGUAAGAUUUUUUAAUUUUAGCUUGUGAUCUACCUUUCCCAUGCAUUCUUUUUCAUUCUCCAUGGCUAAAAUUCAAGUUUUCAAGAGGGAACCUUUGCUGGCCAAAUCUAGAGAGAGAAGUUUUGGUGAUGAAUUUUGCUAGAUUUCAUAAUAUCCUAGUGUUUUUAGUCAUUCUGUGAUGUUUGGAAGGAAAAACAAGCAAGAAAAUCACAUGCCCUUCAAUAACCCUCAUUUGGCCGAAUUUUCUAUAGGGCAUGUUGAUAAUGGAUUUGGUUGUAAUUCAUGUUAUUUAGCUAGGAAUUGAUGAAUUAUAAUGUUGGAUAUCGAAAUUGGAAUGAAUUUCGGUAACGGUGAAUUAAGUCACAAUUAAGCUCAUUGAGGUACUUUGGUGUAUUGGGAAUAUUGGAAGUGUAAUGAAGAUAUUUGGAGUUGAAUUGGAUGUUUUGGCUAAUUAAACAAGGCAUAGUAUGAGUUAGGUUGAAUGCCAAUUCAGUCCGAUCAUAAUUGAACCCACGUAAAACCCCAUCUUUAAGUAAUUAUUCGGACAAUUCUCGUUCAAUGUCAUGCAUUCAUAUAGAGCCUGAAAUAGUUUUAUAACAGUUUGGCACAAAUAUAUUGAAUUACGUGUCGUGUAUUAUGUACAGGUGGUGAGCCCUUUGAUAAGGGUAAAGAUAUUGUGCCCGAGGACCAAGAAUAGGAGUACUCCAAACUCCUGCUAUUGUGAGUAAUUAGAUGUUCAUUUUAAUUAUUUACCAAUUAUUAUGUUUUACAUUUUAAAUGUUGGUUAAAUGAAUGAGAUGUAUAAAUUAUUCUGAAAUUAAAUGUUGAUUUUCGAAAUAGAGUAAGUAGAGGCUAUACAUUCAUAUUAUAUAUAUAUACAUGAUUUGAAUUGAUGGCUUAUGAAAUCGUAGUAGCAUGAAUGGCUGAAAUUGUAAUUUUGUGAAUUAUAUAAAUUGUUUUGCCUUACAUUGACAGGUUGGAUAGUACUAUAUUAGCCAUGUUAUGUUGCCGAAAUUUUAUUGAUUUGGUGGGUUAUGUAUUUAGCUUAUUGCAGUGGACGGGUUUUUAUGGACCAGCCUAUUAGAGGGGCAUGGUAAACCCCGUUAUAUUUACCUUAGUACGAGAGGCACGGAGGGUAUCUCCUAAGGUAAAGUUAGAGUUCACCUCACGCCGAACCACCACGUGAGGGUGAAACUCAGCCAACGCCAAGCAAUGACUAUGCUUUUAAAUGUAAAAAAAAUGAGUUUUAUACUCAUAUGUUAUUUUAACAGCCUUGGCGGACUUGGUUGGAUGCCUCGGCGUAAAGUGUCACCGAAUGCAAGUUUUUGUCAUGAGCCAAGUUUUUACGAGAAUCAUAAGCUUUGUUGAUUUUUAUGAAAUGAAAUUGAUUUAUAUGAAAUGAAAUGAGAUUUGAUGUUAUGAAUCAUAUCAUGAUGGGAUAUUUUAAAUUGUCUCUAUUUACUCGACUUUAGAUGUUUUAGAUGAAAUUUGCUUACUCACUAGGUUUAUAAAAACUCAUCUCUUCUUUUCACCCAUUUCAGGCUCAGGGCAGUCUGUAGACCGCUGAUUAUGUCGAGGGUUUGCAUUUGGAUUUGCACCCUUAGAAAACGCAAGUUUAUAGUCUUGUUUAUUUUCGGUUAUUUUGGGAGCCCACAUGUCAUUGUAGAGUAUUUUUGUAUACCUGGUUUAGUGCACUAUUAUAUAUAUGAAUUUAUUUUACUUUUACGCUACAAAAAUUAUUUAUGCAGGAUUUUAUAAAUAUUAUUUUAUAAAAAAUAAAUAUUUUAUUUAAUAUUUUUAUUUAGUUUGAUUAGCCAUAAUUUCAUCUUAAAUGGAUGAUUUAGAUAAGAAAUGUAUAUUUUUCAAUUGUCUACUGUAUUUUCAUUAGGUUCGAAAUUUUGGGUAAAAUGACUAAAAUACCCCUGUACAGUAGAAAUUACUUUUUGAUCGUUUUUGAUUUGAAAAUAGUCUAUAUUCGUUUAAAAUAUGAUAUUAAUAACUGUUACUCACAGGAGCGGUGGAAAAUUGAUGCAGUAGUCUUGCGAGGUUUCGGUUGGCAUUUUGGGUAAGGAAUGUCUAUCGAGACAUCGCGACGGUUGUCACGGGCUCAAAGAGAGUAUCGGGUCGUGACAGCAAGAGCAUCUUGCUGUUCAUCUGAUCCCUCACUUUCAUGGUAUGUUUCUUUAUUACAAUUUCAUAUGUUUCUUUUCUUCCGAUCAUUUAGCUCAUUUGCUUCCUAUCCUUUAUUUCUCUCUAAGCCAGUUAGUUUAAAAAAAUCAGUAUUUGGAGUCUCAUUUUCUGUAUACAUCAUGUGAUAUGUCAUAAUGCUAAAGCAGUAUAUUUCUUUUUUCUCUUUCUUUUUUUUUCCCAAUGCAAAAGGAAUACAUAAUUUUGCAUGCAAGAAGAUGAUUAGAAUGCAUGAUGUUAAGUAGACUGAAAAAGUUAUAUAAAUAGGUGUGUGGAUAUAUAUUGCAUGGUUAAAUCCUAUAUUAUCAAGUUGGCCAAAAAGAAGAAAAAGAAUCUCUUAUUAUUACACAUCAGUGCUGAAGUUCUCAUAAAAUGCUAUUGUUUAAUUUUUGUUUAAUUAUAUAAAUAGGGUAAUCUAGUUAUAAAAGGCAAGUGUCUCUAGUUAUUGUUUUUUGUUUGGCAAAUGUUUUCAUUAUCACGUUUCAAAUAAUUGUCACUUUUAAAGGACUUAUUAGUAAUUUUUGUCGCAUUGUAAUUGAACUACUUAAGAGUGUUUUUUUUUUUUUUAUAAUUGGGGGAGGGGGGAUUUAAACCCUGCUCUUUAGGCAGGGGGAUCAUGCACCAACCAAUGAGUCAAAUGCUCGGGUGUUAUUGCUUAAGAGUGUGGUAGGAGUCAGAAUUUGCCUCUCUCUCUUUUUCUGUCACGAUCCGGAACUCCCAUCGAGCCUGUGACAACCACCGCGAAGUCUCGUCAAACAUUCUUUACCCCGAAUGCUGAUCGAAACCUCGUAAGGCUUUCGCAUCAGUUUUCUUACCUCCUCUGUGAUCGACAGUAACUAAAAUCGUGCUUUGAAACGAUAUGAAUCAUUU